rnacentral:lncRNA from 1 species
AUUUUGUUUCACCUUGAUUGAAUCAGUUUCGAUUUGCAGGAAAGCAAAUGCACUGAUUAGCUGAGGCUCGUCUCUCUUUAUGGGCGAGGGCCAAAAUGACAGUUGACUGUCCCCCCUCUCUGCUAGCUGAGCUAAUGGUACUGUACGUUUGCUGCCACUGCAGGAAACAUGAGAACAUGUGGCACAAACAUCUGUCAGUAUCUCUGCCCCCACCCCAAUUGCACAGGAAUGUUGCACCCAGAUGACAAUGAUGCAUGUUCUUUCUGCAGGGAUUGUCUGGGGUGCCAGGUCAGCCGGGGGAGCCGGGCAAAGAGGGCAAAAGGGGACGCAGAGGGAAGACCGGGGAGCCCGGACCCAGAGGCCCACCGGGUGGGAUCGGAGCCGCCGUGGAAAAGGGGGAGAGGGGAGAUCCCGUAUGUAUUUUCCCACCGCUGUGACAUUUACCACACUGUUGCAUUAGAGUCAUUAACAGAGGUGUUCUACCACAGGGUCAGCCGGGUGCUGCAGGUACCAGCGGAGUGA